AUACUUUCUGCUGUCACUAGCAUAACAGAAAAGACGAAUGGCUUUUGUUUUAAACUGAGGGCACUUUUACAAAAGUCAUCUUUCCAUUUAUUUUUCUUUCAGAAAAAAGAAUUUGGGUUUUGAGCUUUUUAAAAAAAAAAAGACAAACACUUUCCUUGACUUUGAGAAAUAAUUUAAGUCAAAGAAUCUGCUCUAUGCUAACCAAGAGAUAGAUCACAGCAAAGACCUGCCAGCCCCGGGCCUCUACCUAGUGGCCUGGAAAUUCAAGUAUUCUUAUUGGUGGAGGCCAUUUGUUUCUGAUUAGAAGCUGUCUAAACCUCCUACUUCUCAACUCAAAGGAAAACACAGGAAUCUUCCAAAGAUGGGAUGACCAGGGUCUAUAAGUCAUUAGUGACAAAUGUCUGUAAGGAAAUGUCAUGUUACAGUGACUUCCCUUUCCACGAAGAUUAUCCUAAUUUCAUGAACCAUGAAAAAUUUUGGGACUAUCUCCAAGAAUUUGCUGAGCACUUUGACCUCCUGAAAUACAUUCAGUUUAAG
rnacentral:sRNA from 1 species